CAAAGUUGAAAUGACUUUCAUUAAUAAUAAUGAAAAUUGGAAUAGGAAUAGCAUACAGUAUUAGUAAAAUACUAAGAGCACCAUCAACGCAGGGAGCUUAAGAGUGGCUUAAUGUUUUUUAAGAUUAAAAAAAUAGAAAAUGAUGGAAUUAGAGUAAACACGACGCUUAAUUAAGCAGCGGAAGCUGCGUGGUUUGUGGACACGUGUUGGACGGUGGGCUCUCUGCGACUAUUUCUCUCUCUCACGAACCGUCGAACUCUUUGUGUUUUAUUCUCGACGACUUCGUCUCUACCUCCUCUUCUCUCUCGCGAAAUCGACGGCUCUGUGAUCUCCUCGACGCCUCCGUGAUCUCUCCUUGUAUUUACCGGAAGAUCUCCUCGUCUCUCUUGCUCAGCUCGACGCCUCCGUGAUCUCUCGAGCUCCUUGUGUUUCAAUUUUUACGUCUUUCCUUCCAAUGUCUCCAAGAAUACAUUAAUGGAGACUUUGUGAAGAACGCUUGAAAAAUGGGGGAAGAUGCAUUGGAGGACAAUUAUCAAGAGAUGGCUUAUUUCAAAUUUUUAUACACUUUUAUUAAUAUAAAAAUGAAUAAGCUCUCUACAGAGUGGUUAUGGUUAAGGAUGCUAUAAGAACGUCGAGCCCGAAAACCCAUUUUGUGGCUCCCAAAAACAAUGGGAAAAUAAACUAUUGCGAUUUGGCAUAUUAUUAGACCUCUGCACUGUUUACUAUAAAGUUUUUGCCUUUUUCUAUAACUGAAAAGAAGAUAUGUCAUGUAGUAAUAUGGGAGUAUUAUGUAAUAUAUGCACAUUUCUCAAUUUGUUACAGAUUCAG